rnacentral:rasiRNA from 1 species
UGAUACGAGGGAGAAUUGUGAGUCG